rnacentral:rRNA from 1 species
UCUUGACAUCCAGAGAACUUUCCAGAGAUGGAUUGGUGCCUUCGGGAACUCUGAGACAGGUGCUGCAUGGCUGUCGUCAGCUCGUGUUGUGAAAUGUUGGGUUAAGUCCGCAACGAGCGCAACCCCUAUCCUUUGUUGCCAGCGAUUCGGUCGGGAACUCAAAGGAGACUGCCGGUGAUAAACCGGAGGAAGGUGGGGAUGACGUCAAGUCAUCAUGGCCCUUACGAGUAGGGCUACACACGUGCUACAAUGGCGUAUACAAAGAGAAGCAACCUCGCGAGAGCAAGCGGACCUCAUAAAGUACGUCGUAGUCCGGAUUGGAGUCUGCAACUCGACUCCAUGAAGUCGGAAUCGCUAGUAAUCGUAGAUCAGAAUGCUACGGUGAAUACGUUCCCGGGCCUUGUACACACCGCCCGUCACACCAUGGGAGUGGGUUGCAAAAGAAGUAGAUAGCUUAACCUUCGGGAGGGCGUUUACCACUUUGUGAUUCAUGACUGGGGUGAAGUCGUAACAAGGUAGGCGUAGCGAG